rnacentral:misc_RNA from 1 species
AAAAUAAUCCUACCCUUUGUGAAUUUUGUUUGUUUGAAUAAUUUUUUUUUUAAAAAAUUAUUGGAGUCUUUCCCUUUAGAGUUUGCUUUUGAGUUUGUAAAAGAAUUCGAAAACAUCUAAAGGGGAUGGUCAAUAAUUUUUUUUGAAAAAAGACAUUUUUUAAGAUUAAACUUUUUGUAUUCAUUUGUCUAAAAAUUAUUUUUUAUAAUAUAAAAACAACUUUUGACAAUGGAUCUCUUGGUUCUCGCAACGAUGAAGAACGCAGCAAAAUGCGAUAAGUAGUGUGAAUUGCAGAAUACGUGAAUCAUCGAAUCUUUGAACGCAUAUUGCACUUUUUUAGUUUACUAAAAAAGUAUGUCUGUUUGAGUAUCAGUAAAAUAUUCUCAUAAAAAUCAUUGUGUAUUUUUAUGGUUAUGAGUGUUUUACAACGAUACAAGUUGUUUCACUUUAAAUUUUUUUUUAAUAUUGAAGUUUUUCUAAUUUUAAUAAUUAAAAUUGGAUAAAAUUUUCCCGUCAAAAGGAAUAACCUAAACAAUUUUAAACGAUUAAUUUUAGCAAAAUUUUCGUAAAAAAGGAAAAUUUUUAUUAAAAUAACUUGAUCUCAAAUCAGAUAAGAGUACCCGCUGAACUUAAGCAUAUCAAUAAGCGGAGGAAAAGAAACUAACAAGGAUUCCCUUAGUAACGGCGAGUGAAGCGGGAAGAGCUCAAAUUUGAAAUCUCAAGGUUUUACCUUGACGAAUUGUAGUUUAAAGAAGUGUUUUCUGCUGAAGUUUUGGUAAAAGUUCUUUGGAAUAGGACAUCGUAGAGGGUGAGAAUCCCGUAUCUGACCAUUAUUUUCAGCUUUGUGAUACACUUUCAAAGAGUCGGAUUGUUUGGGAAUGCAGUCCAAAAUGGGUGGUAAAUUUCAUCUAAAGCUAAAUAUUGGCGAGAGACCGAUAGCGAACAAGUACCGUGAGGGAAAGAUGAAAAGAACUUUGAAAAGAGAGUUAAACAGUACGUGAAAUUGUCAAAAGGGAAGCGUUUGACACCAGUGUUGUUUUCUCGAAAAUCAAUUAAAAAUGGCUCGAUUUUGUAUUGCUGAGACCUUAAAAGCUCACUGUACAUUUUUCGUGUCUUUUUUAACGCACUUUUCGUUUAACAAGUCAACAUCAGUUUCUUUUGUUGUAAAAGGGUCAUUGGAAGGUGGCUUUCUUUUCGGAGAAAGUGUUUAUAGCCUUUGGCCUCUGCAAUCGGAGAGACUGAGGUCUGCAGCGUAGACUCUUCGGGGUUAGAUACAUUUGUGCUAAGUUAUAGCUUUUUAUAGACAACUUGUUGACUAUAAUUAGUCUUGUAGCUUACUCGCUUAUGCUAUUU